AAAACCAAAAAACCAAAAAACAUAACUUGACAUAUUCCAGUGGCUAGAAAACACUGCAAAGGUAUAUUCAUGACAUAUGUGAUUUAAAUGAAAACCCCUAAAGUCACAGGAGUCUCCCUGUUUUGUAGGGCCCAGUGUUUUCACUUUUUGUUAAUUUCAGUGGAUUUGGGAAAGGUAUUUUCUCAGUGGAUAAUUUAAAAUUCAAUGUAAAAUGUUAUUGAGUUCCUUUCAUUAAUAACUGAUGUAUUUUCUAUAGUAGAUCUUCAGAUAAAUGUCAUAGUGAGAACAUUAAGGUCAAUGGAUUUGGCAUAGAUAUUUAUACAGUAGAGAAAGCUUCUAAUUUUUCUGUGCUUACAAUUUAUAGUAACCUAUUCUUGGUAAAAUUUAUACUGAGACAAAAUCUCUCAACCUGUGAGUCAUUCCUUUGGGGGUUCCAUAUUAUUCUAAUAUGCAUUCUGAUGUCGGAGACACACAGUUAACCACUUCUUGUUCUUCAGAACCUACAGCAGUGUGCAGUGCCUGCACACCCCAUGUGGCUUUGGGCUUGGCCUAAGUGUGCUUCUUCUAUUGACAGUUCUUGGCAGAAACCAUGACACAGAGACAUGCAAAAGCUUUUCAAGCUUCACCCUGUAGUGGUAAAUAUUUAAAGUCUACUCUAUGCUCCCAGUGGAUGCGCACAUGGUUCUGUACCCACCCAAGAGCCCUGGAUUCAUGAAUGAAAGAUACACACACACAACCUUUACCUUUAUAUUUUAAUAUGCCUUAACUAGCUCAAUGGUUGGGCUGAUCCUGAACCUCCACGUGGCUAACGCACUCCCCUCUGAUAUUCUCAAGUUAUUACUUUCUAAAACCUGUACUUGAUCUCUGCUACGCUGGGCCCAAUCGGGGGAAGUGGUCCCAGGGGCCACUUUUCCUGAUUCUUACAUGGCUUGUUCUCUGUCGUCCACAGCUUUCAUGUCUGUGUCCUCUUCCUUCCUUCUGCCCUGGCGAUUCUCAUUCUGCGUUUCCUCUCUGGGAAUCUUCAAAGUUCUGCCUCUGUCCUCCUACCCAGCUAUUGGCUGCUGACUUUUUAUUGGCCAGUCAGAAAACCAACUGUUGGCAGGGACCAGCAUUGGACAUGUGAAUUCCCAUGUAAGCACAAAUCAAAUUCCCAACACACCCAGAAACAAACAACAUAAAAAAACAAAACAAAAACAGUAUCUAACUGAAACCAUGCCAAUAUUUGCUCACAGCUGUGAAGACUUAUUUAGGCCAUGCUAGUAUUAAGGAAAAAACAAAAAACAAAAAACAAAAAACCAGCAGAGGGCUGAUUCCUUUCUUAAGAUUCCUGGAUCAAAAAUCUCUCAAUGGGGGAACUUUGCAGAUAACUAUCCACCUGUAAACAAAAUGAGAUGUGUUGAAUUAUCUGUCAGAUCUUAUUUGUCUCCAGUUCAGAUCAUCUUACAGACAUAGAUACAGUGUUCUUCCCCACUUCAUUAGGAACCAUAAAAGAAGAGUUCUGUGCGGAAUGUUUGCUCUACAGAACUAUUUAAUAUCCUCUGACCUUAAUCCUAAUCCUAUAAGAUCCAACUUUCCAGAAGAAGGGAGGAGGAAAUUAGAAGGAAGAGGAGGAUGAGGAUGAGAAGAAGAAAGACAAAAGAAGAAGAAAAAAGAAGUAGAAGAUGCAAGAACAAUUUUAAAGGCUUCUGUGACCUUUUCCAUUCUGUCAGGAUCUUUCAUUAGCAUGCUGCUGCAUCUUUGCCCCUGAUCCAGCAGUACAAUUCCAAAGGAGAAGCCAACAAAGCUGUCUGGAAAGUAGAUAGGUCUGCAGACUUUGAGGCAUUCUGAGUCCAGCUGACCUUAGGUUCUCUGCCCCUGUCCCAUCCUUGCCACUGUAGUCUGGGAUUACCCAGCCAACCUUUAAUCUUGGGCCUCUGAUGUGGACAGAGAUAAGGAAACUCAGUCCUGAAGAUCACUUGCCAGCAGCUGCCUAACAAUAUGGGUUUCAGCAUCUAGAAGACAGCCUGAGGAGGGGAGCCACGUUCAGAUUCAGCAAGUUCAUCAGGAUCCUGGAAAACAAAUGCCAAGCUUGAUGAACCCUGUGAGCCUCAGGGCAGACCUUCUUCAGGAGUUGGGCCACCUGGGAACUGUUCUGAAAAUCCAGAGAUGCGAGGUUUUUUUCAGAGUUGUGAAUUCUUGAUCCUCUCACCUUGGCACCUGAACAUCCCCACAGCCUGAAAAGGGUGAACAAUAGGCUCAGCCCAACAAGAGCCUCCACAGCACCUACUACUGACUACCUGCUUCCCUAUAGGGUCCCUGCAGGUCCCAAGCCAGCACAGCACAGAGAACAAGAGUCUAAAGAGGUCUUUACACAAUUGUUUGACUUGUUCUCAGCAUCUAGUGUAUUAGGCAUGAGGAUUGUAUGUGGAAAACUGUCUGCUGCUUGGAAUCAGAUCCCUGAUAGACUGAUUGCUUAGGAAGCAGCCCCCCAAAAGUGCCUGGAAUAUACUGGAUAUCAGUAAAUGCCUGUUGGAUGAUAAGUGUUCAUGAUUGUAUAUAAUCAUCGGUUAUACCGAAGGUCCCUAAACAGCUCUUUCUUUUAUGCUCACAUACACUCUGCCAACCCCUGCAAUGCAUUAAUUUAGACAUAAAGUGGCACUGAGGAAGAUAUCACUGCAUACAUUCCUUCAUGGCCAAUGGCUCCUGCCCCUGAAUCAGUUGGCUUUUGUUUGUGCAGAUGCCUUUUCCUGGUGGUAGAAAUGCUUUUCCCCCACUAGGCAGGGGCAUGGCUUGAUGAAGUGCAACUGGAUCAUCUGUUUUCAAGUAGUGUGUCUGGAUUGUGGAGUCUAUUUCUGAAGAUAGGUGGACACACAAAAUGACCAAAAAUGAACUCACCAAGUCAGCUUGGCCUGUGUGAUGAGUAUGGCAAAUGUUUCACUGGCUAUCAUGCCACCAGGGUCACUGCCAUCUGGAAACAGUGGAGAACAAAGGAUAUUUCAGAUCUGUAUAGGGGCACUGUUACAGAAGUUUUGUUUCAAGCUUUGUUUGGGCAGGUAGUUCUGAAUGGCCUAAGAGAACAGAUUGAUCAAGGCAUGGGAAACAAGCCCUGAGUUCUGAAGAUGAUGGACUACAACCUAUAGGAUGAAAUGAACCCUUUCCCCCCUAAGCUGAUUUUGGUCAAAAAUCCUAAUUGAUGUGUACCCACAUGUCAGCUCUUGACCUGUAGCCUAAGAAAUGGCAAAAAUUUCAUUGUCUAUUUCUUUCUCACUCACAUCAGCUUAAAUACCAAAGCUAUGAUAUCUUCCUUUAGAAAUCAUUUCUAUAUCUGCUACAUCUGCAUCAUGCUUGCCUAUGUGCACUUUAGGGACAAGGCCCUCUCAAGUUUUCUUUGGUUUUGUGUCCACAUGUUCCUCAGCUUUUCUGAGUCUUUCUUUGUCUCCUGGUUUUCUGAGGAUGAUCUUUCCAGAUUGCUGGACACCUAAGCAGGGGGCAUCUGAUCUGAGAUACAUUCACUGGCAUCUGUUGUUUUAUUGACCUAUAAAUAUUUUCCACUGGGCUUGGCAGCGUGAUCCCUUGGGGUCUCCUUUUCACUUACCCUUCCCAGAAAAUGUCUGUUUUUUGUUCCCACCAAUCAAAACCCUGUGACCUUGUGAUCCUAAGUUAUAGAGCUUUUCUUUACCUUCUUCCUACACUACUCAUGUUAGCACAGUCUAGAAGCCAAUCUCCAGGUUCCAAUGUCAUAUGAUAACAUGGGUGUUUCUUUAUAAAGUUGAUUUCAUUUCAGGA